GUGGAUGAAUGCGCAGUGUGUGUAGAAGUGCAGUGUGUGUAGAUGAAUGCGCAGUGUGAGUGCAUAAGUGCAGUGUGAGUGCAUAAAUGCAGUGUGUAUGAGUGCAGUGUGUGCAUGAAUGCAGUGUUUGUGUAUGAGUGCAGUGUGUGUGCAUAAAUGCAGUGUGUAUGAGUGCAGUGUGUGUGAGUGCAGUGUGUGUGUGUAUGAAUGCAGUGUGUGUGUGUGUGUGUGUGAUGCAGUGUUUGUGUUGCAGAGCCUUGGUGGGGGGUGGGCAU